GCUUUCACUUUAAUAGAUCGUGCGGCUGCACACGCUUUGGGUCCAUGCAUUUCUCUAAUCGAGCUGUAACACUUGCUGCUGCGGUCCAUGGCUCCAUUCCUUGAAGCCCACGAGACCAGGAACCCUUGGAUUGAGAAAAAACCUUCAAUUGGGAGGAUACUUCUUAUCUCAUUUCUAGGGGCCCAUCCGGGAUUUCUCCACAGCACUCAAGCUGAGCUUUCACUCUCUGUCCACCACUGCUGUUUGCCACUGCCGCAGACACGCGCUGACUUCCAUCCCUUCGGAUCCGGCAGGGUGUCCUCUGUGCUCCUGAUCCAGUGAGGUGCCCAUUGCUGCUCCCGAUCCGACUAAAGGCUUGCCAUUGUUCCUGCAUGGCUAAGUGCCCAGGUUCGUUCUAAUCGAGCUGAACACUAGUCACUGGGUUCCACGGUUCUCUUCCAUGACCCACGGCUUCUAAUAGAGCUAACAGAGCUGUAACACUCACCGCAUGGCCCAAGAUUCCAUUCCUUUGAAUCCGUGAGGCCAGGAACCCCAGGUCAGCUACCACCAGGCUAGCCACCAUCUUGGAAACAGCUUGCGGCCAUUUUGGAAGCGUCCCAUUACCGUCUUGGUAGCUCUGGGAGCAAGGACCCCCAGUAACAUGAGGACUCACACAGACUAGUAAGGCAACUUUCCAUAAGGAAUGACAUUGCAUUUUUCUGAAUAAUGUGGACUGGCAGAUGUUGUGUGUAAGUGUUUGCUGAAUCAUCUGAUUGAGGCAUUUCUUCUUAAUCAUAGGUGAGGGGAGCCAGUGGCAAACUGUAAGAUGUGCCACUGAGAUCCCCCUUCAAGUUCAGUUCUUCAGAGUCUGCUUCAGCUGCGUGAAGUGCUUUUACCCUAAGUCUCCCCAUCUUCUUCAGACCAGCCGGCAUACAGCAACUGAGCAGGGUAGGAGUAUAAGGGGUAGUUCAUUUGAGCCUGACAUGGGGCACUGAGAUAGGCAAUAGCAGCUUCAGAGCCAUUCUGAGUAGCGUGAUGAAACCUCAAACCAUCCCAUUCUGUCCUCCCUGAGACAUGAAUCAUCCCUUUGUCCAGCACAUAUAACCAUGUUGUCCACAUUACUGGCCUAUAAUUAGUUACUUAGUAGCCAGCUCGGUUAUCAGAAUGACUAUGGUGAUAUCGAUGUGCUUGUGCUUAAGUAAACCUUAUUUUACUUAACAAUAAUCCCAAAGCUCAAGACUAAUAAUACUGGCAUACUGUCAUAAUUUUUUAUUGUAUUAUUAGUUAUUGUUGUUAUCUCUACUGUUCCUAAUUUAUAAAUUAAGCUUUAUGAUAGAUAUGUAUAUACAGGAAGAAACAUAGUAUAUAUAGGAUAUGGUACGACCUGCAAUUCCAUGCACCCAUGGGGGGUCUUGGAAUAGAUCCACCGAGGAUAAGAGGGAACUACUGUAUUAAGUAAUGGGGCCACUCCUCUUUGCAUACGUUACAUUCCAAAUGCAUAUAUUCUUUCCACUAGAGCCACAGAGCCAUCAAAGAUCUUCUAUUAUCUAUAUGCUGCGUCCUAGAUGAUGAAACACAAUUCUCAGGAAGUAUUGGCUCCAAACUGGCAUUUUAGCUGUGCAGGCCUUUUCAGCACUCUCUCACACUGACAGCUUCUGGGUGGGUCAGUACGUCAUCUCAUGGUCAUAGGCCCACUUACUCUUCUCCUUUACCAUAAACUAAGUCUUGGUCUAAUGGAAUAAUAAUGUGUUUUGAUGCCAGUGGAACCAAAACUCUGCAAGUCCACAGAUAGUAAUGUUUACUGUUGCUUUACAGGUAAGAAUGGUACCCCCCUACUAAGAAAGUGUGUAUGGCAGGUAAACACUGAGCACACAUGGAUAUAAACACAGGGAUAAUAGACACUGCAGACUACUAGGGAAAGGAUGGAAGGAGAGAGACAUGGGAGAAAAACUACCUAUUGGGUGCUAUGCUCACUACGUGGGUCUAAUACACUAUGUAACAAUUCUACACAUGUACCCCCGUAUCUAAAAUAAAAGCUGUUUUUUUAAAAGAAAAAUUGCUGUAAAUAAUGGAAAGAAAAUGACAGGGCUAAUAUUUUGGGAAUCUUAGAAAAGAAUUAUAUUCAAAUUACAUAAGAAGAAAGACAGAGUCGGGUGCGGUGGCUCACGCCUGUAAUCCUAGCACUUUAGGAGGCCGAGGCAGACGGAUCACGAGGUCAGGAGCUCGAGACCAUCCUGGCUAACAAGGUGAAACCCCGUCUCUACUAAAAA
rnacentral:lncRNA from 1 species